AUCGACGAGUUUGAUCAUGGCUCAGAAUCAACGCUGGCGGCGUGCCUCAGACAUGCAAGUCGAACGAUUAAAGCUCUCUUCGGAGAGUGUAUAGAGUGGCGCACGAGUGAGUAACACGUAAGUAAUCUACCCUCGAGUGGGGAAUAACAACCGGAAACGGUUGCUAAUACCGCAUAAUGCAGCGGCACCGCAAGGUGACAGUUGUUAAAGAUUUAUCGCUUGAGGAGGAGCUUGCGGCAGAUUAGCUAGUUGGUAGGGUAACGGCUUACCAAGGCUACGAUCUGUAACCGGUCUAAGAGGACGGUCGGUCACACUGACACUGAAUAACGGGUCAGACUCCUACGGGAGGCAGCAGUCGGGAAUUUUGGGCAAUGGGCGAAAGCCUGACCCAGCAACGCCGCGCGAAGGAUGAAGUAUUUCGGUAUGUAAACUUCGAAAGAAUAGGAAGAAUUAAUGACGGUACUAUUUAUAAGGUCCGGCUAACUACGUG
rnacentral:rRNA from 1 species